CUGAGUACGGCGGAACACGUGAAAUUCCGUCGGAAUCCGGGAGGACCAUCUCCCAAGGCUAAAUACUCCCUAGUGACCGAUAGUGAACCAGUACCGUGAGGGAAAGGUGAAAAGCACCCCGGAAGGGGAGUGAAACAGUUCCUGAAACCGUGUGCCUACAAGUAGUUAGAGCCCGUUAAUGGGUGAUAGCGUGCCUUUUGUAGAAUGAACCGGCGAGUUACGAUUUGUUGCAAGGUUAAGCGGAAAAAGCGGAGCCGUAGCGAAAGCGAGUCUGAAUAGGGCGCAUAAGUAACAGGUCGUAGACCCGAAACCAGGUGAUCUACCCAUGUCCAGGAUGAAGGUAAGGUAAUACUUACUGGAGGUCCGAACCCACGCACGUUGAAAAGUGCGGGGAUGAGGUGUGGGUAGCGGAGAAAUUCCAAUCGAACUUGGAGAUAGCUGGUUCUCUCCGAAAUAGCUUUAGGGCUAGCCUCGAGGUAAAGAGUCAUGGAGGUAGAGCACUGUUUGGACUAGGGGCCCUUCUCGGGUUACCGAAUUCAGAUAAACUCCGAAUGCCAUGUACUUAUACUCGGGAGUCAGACUGCGAGUGAUAAGAUCCGUAGUCGAAAGGGAAACAGCCCAGACCACCAGUUAAGGUCCCCAAAUAUAUGUUAAGUGGAAAAGGAUGUGGGGUUGCUUAGACAACCAGGAUGUUGGCUUAGAAGCAGCCACCAUUGAAAGAGUGCGUAAUAGCUCACUGGUCGAGUGACCCCGCGCCGAAAAUGUACCGGGGCUAAACAUAUUACCGAAACUGUGGAUGAACCUCUUUAGAGGUUCGUGGUAGGAGAGCGUUCUAAGGGCGGUGAAGUCAGACCGGAAGGACUGGUGGAGCGCUUAGAAGUGAGAAUGCCGGUAUGAGUAGCGAAAGAAGGGUGAGAAUCCCUUCCACCGAAUAUCUAAGGUUUCCUGAGGAAGGCUCGUCCGCUCAGGGUUAGUCGGGACCUAAGCCGAGGCCGAUAGGCGUAGGCGAUGGACAACAGGUAGAGAUUCCUGUACCAGUGCUAAUUGUUUAACCGAUGGGGUGACACAGAAGGAUAGGGAAUCGCACGAAUGGAAAUGUGCGUCCAAGCAGUGAGUGUGAGAAGUAGGCAAAUCCGCUUCUCGCGAAGCAUGAGCUGUGAUGGGGAAGGAAAUUAAGUACGGAAGUUCCUGAUUUCACGCUGUCAAGAAAAGCCUCUAGGAAGAGUAGUACUGCCCGUACCGCAAACCGACACAGGUAGAUGAGGAGAGAAUCCUAAGGUGAGCGAGAGAACUCUCGUUAAGGAACUCGGCAAAAUGACCCCGUAACUUCGGGAGAAGGGGUGCUCUAUUAGGGUGCAAGCCCGAGAGAGCCGCAGUGAAUAGGCCCAGGCGACUGUUUAGCAAAAACACAGGUCUCUGCAAAACCGUAAGGUGACGUAUAGGGGCUGACGCCUGCCCGGUGCUGGAAGGUUAAGAGGAGUGCUUAGCUUCGGCGAAGGUACGAAUUGAAGCCCCAGUAAACGGCGGCCGUAACUAUAACGGUCCUAAGGUAGCGAAAUUCCUUGUCGGGUAAGUUCCGACCCGCACGAAAGGCGCAACGAUCUGGGCACUGUCUCAACGAGAGACUCGGUGAAAUUAUAGUACCUGUGAAGAUGCAGGUUACCCGCGACAGGACGGAAAGACCCCGUGGAGCUUUACUGCAACCUGAUAUGGAAUGUUUGUACCGCUUGUACAGGAUAGGUAGGAGCCGAAGAGACGUGUGCGCUAGCAUACGAGGAGGCAAUGGUGGGAUACUACCCUGGCUGUAUGACCAUUCUAACCCGCCACGCUUAGCGCGUGGGGAGACAGUGUCAGGUGGGCAGUUUGACUGGGGCGGUCGCCUCCUAAAGAGUAACGGAGGCGCCCAAAGGUUCCCU
rnacentral:rRNA from 1 species